GCCUUCGUAGCUCAACGGUAGAGCAAUUGCCUUGUAAGCAGUAGGUUGGGGGUUCAAAUCCCUCCGAAGGCU
rnacentral:tRNA from 1 species